rnacentral:rRNA from 1 species
GCUGGCGGCGCGCCUAACACAUGCAAGUCGAACGGACGAGAAGGAGCUUGCUCCUUCAAGUUAGUGGCGGACGGGUGAGUAACACGUGAGCAACCUGCCUUUCAGAGGGGGACAACAGUUGGAAACGACUGCUAAUACCGCAUAACGUUGCGGGAGGCAUCUUCCUGCAACCAAAGAUUUAUCGCUGAAAGAUGGGCUCGCGUCUGAUUAGCUAGUUGGUGAGGUAACGGCCCACCAAGGCGACGAUCAGUAGCCGGCCUGAGAGGGUGAACGGCCACAUUGGGACUGAGACACGGCCCAAACUCCUACGGGAGGCAGCAGUGGGGAAUAUUGCACAAUGGGGGAAACCCUGAUGCAGCGACGCCGCGUGAGUGAAGAAGUAUUUCGGUAUGUAAAGCUCUAUCAGCAGGGAAGAAAAUGACGGUACCUGACUAAGAAGCCCCGGCUAACUACGUG